rnacentral:rRNA from 1 species
GACGAACGCUGGCGGCGUGCCUAAUACAUGCAAGUCGAACGAGAGCGACCGGUGCUUGCACUGGUCAAUCUAGUGGCGAACGGGUGAGUAACACGUGGGUAACCUGCCCAUCAGAGGGGGAUAACAUCCGGAAACGGAUGCUAAAACCGCAUAGGUCUUCGAACCGCAUGGUUUGAAGAGGAAAAGAGGCGCAAGCUUCUGCUGAUGGAUGGACCCGCGGUGCAUUAGCUAGUUGGUGAGGUAACGGCUCACCAAGGCCGUGAUGCAUAGCCGACCUGAGAGGGUGAACGGGCACAUUGGGACUGAGACACGGCCCAAACUCCUACGGGAGGCAGCAGUAGGGAAUCUUCCGCAAUGGACGCAAGUCUGACGGAGCAACGCCGCGUGAGUGAAGAAGGUUUUCGGAUCGUAAAACUCUGUUGUUAGAGAAGAACAAGUGCUAGAGUAACUGUUAGCGCCUUGACGGUAUCUAACCAGAAAGCCACGGCUAACUACGUG